rnacentral:ncRNA from 1 species
GUCGAUUAAGACAGCAGGACGGUGGUCAUGGAAGUCGAAAUCCGCUAAGGAGUGUGUAACAACUCACAUGCCGAUCAACUAGCCCCGAAAAUGAAUGGCGCUUAAGCGCGCGACCUAUACUCGGCCGUCGGGGCAAGGGCCAGGCCCCGAUGAGUAGGAGGGCGUGGCGGUCGCCAAAAAACCUGGGGCACGAGCCCAGUUGAAGCGGCCGUCGGUGCAGAUCUUGG